rnacentral:lncRNA from 1 species
GCAUAAAGAAAGGUAUUUUAGGAAUUAAAGAUAAGGCCACUUUAUCCGGCCGAUAAGAAACCAAUUUAGGUAUCUUCUAGAUAGCUAAGUGCUUCCACUCGUUUUAUAGGUACACUGUCCAUCCAAAUCUCAUUUUUUGAACGGAGUAUGAUAAUAUGGGUAAAUUGGCCAACUUUUCUUCAUUGCUAACUUUUCUCUACGACUGUCAAAUAGUUUCGCAAGAGGUAAAAAAAAAUCUUAUAUCCGAUGCUCUUUUUCUCCUAUCGUCACCUUUGCAAAUCCCCGCCGC